AAACAAAGUUUUAAUCUAUAAAUAUUUCAUCACAAUCAUCCUUAAAAAAAUAAUUAAAAAGGAGAUUGUGAUAUAAU
rnacentral:sRNA from 1 species